rnacentral:rRNA from 1 species
CCCGGGCCUUGUACACACCGCCCGUCACACCAUGGGAGUGGGUUGUACCAGAAGUAGGUAGAAUAACCGUAAGGGGUUCGCUUACCACGGUAUGAUUCAUGACUGGGGUG